AAAAAUUUAGUUAAAAUUAUAACAUAAGUUUGUCAAACUUAAAUUAUUUUUCAAAAAAUAAUUUUUA
rnacentral:tRNA from 1 species